rnacentral:rRNA from 1 species
CCUACGGGUGGCUGCAGUCGAGAAUCUUCGGCAAUGCGCGCAAGCGUGACCGAGCGACGCCGUGUGUGGGAUGAAGGCCUUCGGGUUGUAAACCACUGUCGUAGGGGAGGAAAUCAACUGGGGUUCUCCCCAGUAGUUGACCUAUCCUAGGAGGAAGGACGGGCUAAGUUCGUGCCAGCAGCCGCGGUAAUACGAACCGUCCAAACGUUAUUCGGAAUUAUUGGGCUUAAAGGGUAUGUAGGCGGCGCUGUUAGUCGGGUGUGAAAUCCCUCGGC